rnacentral:rRNA from 1 species
UAUCAGAGUGAGAUUAAGCCAUGCGAGUCAACGUAGCAAUACGUGGCAUACGGCUCAGUAACACGUAGUCAACAUAACCAAAGGACGUGGAUAAACUCGGGAAACUGAGGCUAAACCGCGAUAGAUCAAGAUACCUGGAAUGGUUUUUGAUCAAAAUCUAUAUGGCCUUUGGAUUGGACUGCGUCCGAUCAGGCUGUUGGUGAGGUAAUGGCCCACCAAACCUAUAACCGGUACGGGCUCUGAGAGGAGGAGCCCGGAGAUGGGUACUGAGAUAAGGACCCAGGCCCUAUGGGGCGCAGCAGGCGCGAAACCUCUGCAAUAGGCGAAAGCUUGACAGGGUUACUCUGAGUGACUUUCGUUAAGAAAGUCUUUUGACACCUCUAAAAAUGGUGUAGAAUAAGGGGUGGGCAAGUC